UGCAAGCUGCUCGGUCCACUCGUAGGUUCAUGUCGGCGGAUCCCCGUCGAUUCACUCGACACAAACCAUGGCUGGCUGUGCAGUUCAUUGUACUAACAGACCGUCUCACAGCUCUGUUGUCAAGUUCUUCCGUUUUCCUCUAGGUGAUCCUGAGAGGUUAGACCUGUGGGUGAUCAACAUGAAGAGACAGAACUGGAUUCCGAGUCUCUGCAGUCAACAUUUUGAGAGACAACACUCGAGCAUUGACAAAAGGGUACACAGAAAUGCUUUAAUAACUUCUGAGAAAUCAAGGAACUUGAUUGUUACAUGGCAACUACAAUUUUAUCAUGAUCUGUGUACUGUACAUUUCUACUCUAUUUACAAUGAAUUUUUUUAUACACAUAUCGGUGUGUUUUCGAGUUUGACUCAGACAGCCUGCACCAGUGGAUGUCCAACAUGAGGAGACAGAACAGGACUCCAACAAGAUUGAACACUAAGUGUCAUCACCUAUGCACUGACUCCAGUUGCAGGCAAUCUUUAGUUGAGGGAGAAAACAUGAAGUGUUGGGCCGAUGAAGCUUGUGCAGGUCGUACUCGUGUUGACCACCCUGAAGCUGCCGAUCUCCACCAUGUUGCUGCUAAGGACAGAUCCG